UCAAGUGAAGAAGCGCAUACGGUGGAUGCCUUGGCAGUCAGAGGCGAUGAAAGACGUGGUAGCCUGCGAAAAGCUUCGGGGAGUCGGCAAACAGACUUUGAUCCGGAGAUCUCUGAAUGGGGGAACCCACCUAGGAUAACCUAGGUAUCUUGUACUGAAUCCAUAGGUGCAAGAGGCGAACCAGGGGAACUGAAACAUCUAAGUACCCUGAGGAAAAGAAAUCAACCGAGAUUCCCUUAGUAGUGGCGAGCGAACGGGGAUUAGCCCUUAAGCUUCAUUGAUUUUAGCGGAACGCUCUGGAAAGUGCGGCCAUAGUGGGUGAUAGCCCCGUACGCGAAAGGAUCUUUGAAGUGAAAUCGAGUAGGACGGAGCACGAGAAACUUUGUCUGAACAUGGGGGGACCAUCCUCCAAGGCUAAAUACUACUGACUGACCGAUAGUGAACCAGUACCGUGAGGGAAAGGCGAAAAGAACCCCGGAGAGGGGAGUGAAAUAGAACCUGAAACCGUAUGCGUACAAGCAGUGGGAGCCUACUUGUUAGGUGACUGCGUACCUUUUGUAUAAUGGGUCAGCGACUUAUAUUCAGUGGCAAGCUUAACCGUAUAGGGUAGGCGUAGCGAAAGCGAGUCUUAAUAGGGCGUUUAGUCGCUGGGUAUAGACCCGAAACCGGGCGAUCUAUCCAUGAGCAGGUUGAAGGUUAGGUAACACUGACUGGAGGACCGAACCCACUCCCGUUGAAAAGGUAGGGGAUGACUUGUGGAUCGGAGUGAAAGGCUAAUCAAGCUCGGAGAUAGCUGGUUCUCCUCGAAAGCUAUUUAGGUAGCGCCUCAUGUAUCACUCUGGGGGGUAGAGCACUGUUUCGGCUAGGGGGUCAUCCCGACUUACCAAACCGAUGCAAACUCCGAAUACCCAGAAGUGCCGAGCAUGGGAGACACACGGCGGGUGCUAACGUCCGUCGUGAAAAGGGAAACAACCCAGACCGCCAGCUAAGGUCCCAAAGUUGUGGUUAAGUGGUAAACGAUGUGGGAAGGCUUAGACAGCUAGGAGGUUGGCUUAGAAGCAGCCACCCUUUAAAGAAAGCGUAAUAGCUCACUAGUCGAGUCGGCCUGCGCGGAAGAUGUAACGGGGCUCAAACCACACACCGAAGCUGCGGGUGUCACGCAAGUGACGCGGUAGAGGAGCGUUCUGUAAGCCUGUGAAGGUGAGUUGAGAAGCUUGCUGGAGGUAUCAGAAGUGCGAAUGCUGACAUGAGUAACGACAAUGGGUGUGAAAAACACCCACGCCGAAAGACCAAGGGUUCCUGCGCAACGUUAAUCGACGCAGGGUUAGUCGGUUCCUAAGGCGAGGCUGAAAAGCGUAGUCGAUGGGAAACAGGUUAAUAUUCCUGUACUUCUGGUUACUGCGAUGGAGGGACGGAGAAGGCUAGGCCAGCUUGGCGUUGGUUGUCCAAGUUUAAGGUGGUAGGCUGAAAUCUUAGGUAAAUCCGGGGUUUCAAGGCCGAGAGCUGAUGACGAGUCGUCUUUUAGAUGACGAAGUGGUUGAUGCCAUGCUUCCAAGAAAAGCUUCUAAGCUUCAGGUAACCAGGAACCGUACCCCAAACCGACACAGGUGGUCGGGUAGAGAAUACCAAGGCGCUUGAGAGAACUCGGGUGAAGGAACUAGGCAAAAUGGCACCGUAACUUCGGGAGAAGGUGCGCCGGCUAGGGUGAAGGAUUUACUCCGUAAGCUCUGGCUGGUCGAAGAUACCAGGCCGCUGCGACUGUUUAUUAAAAACACAGCACUCUGCAAACACGAAAGUGGACGUAUAGGGUGUGACGCCUGCCCGGUGCCGGAAGGUUAAUUGAUGGGGUUAGCGCAAGCGAAGCUCUUGAUCGAAGCCCCGGUAAACGGCGGCCGUAACUAUAACGGUCCUAAGGUAGCGAAAUUCCUUGUCGGGUAAGUUCCGACCUGCACGAAUGGCGUAACGAUGGCGGCGCUGUCUCCACCCGAGACUCAGUGAAAUUGAAAUCGCUGUGAAGAUGCAGUGUAUCCGCGGCUAGACGGAAAGACCCCGUGAACCUUUACUGUAGCUUUGCACUGGACUUUGAGCCUGCUUGUGUAGGAUAGGUGGGAGGCUUUGAAGCGUGGACGCCAGUUCGCGUGGAGCCAUCCUUGAAAUACCACCCUGGCAUGCUUGAGGUUCUAACUCUGGUCCGUAAUCCGGAUCGAGGACAGUGUAUGGUGGGCAGUUUGACUGGGGCGGUCUCCUCCUAAAGAGUAACGGAGGAGUACGAAGGUGCGCUCAGACCGG
rnacentral:rRNA from 1 species